AGCAGCGUGGCUGAGAGGGAAAGCGCCAGUCUCAUAAACUGGAGUUCGAUGGUUCGAUCCCAUCCGCUGCUC